CCCAGAUUUCAUUGCUGGGAAGAGAAGAGCUGCAGAUCUUCAUGGUCCUACAGAUAGAAAAACCACAGUUGAUGUGAGUUCAUGAGAGAAGCUAUACUGAAGACAUUGUUUUGCCCCAUUCCUCCCUGAUUACUGGCUCUUACAAUCCUCCCACCUGUUCUUCUGUGAUGGUCCCUGAGCCUUGUGAAGGAUCAAGACGUAGACCUCUUGGCCCAUCCAGCACCAUAUCUUCCUGUCUGCUGCCAUGCUUUCCACCUUGAUGAUAAUGGACUAAACCUCUGAAACUGUGAGCUAGCCCCAAUGAAAUGUCUUUCUUUAUAUGAGUUGUCAUGGUCAUUGUCUCUUGACAUCAAUAAAACUGUAACUAAUACACACCUGUAAUACAAUAAAUAUUAAAAGUCCUUCGAGUGGGAGAAAAGUAGUGGCACAUUGAAAUGACAAUAUACACAAUAAAGUGAAGAAAGUCAAAA